UUAACACAUGCAAGUCGAACGGAAAGGCCCUGCUUUUGUGGGGUGCUCGAGUGGCGAACGGGUGAGUAACACGUGAGUAACCUGCCCUUGACCUUGGGAUAACUUCAGGAAACUGGGGCUAAUACCGGAUAGGAGCUCCUGCUGCAUGGUGGGGGUUGGAAAGUUUCGGCGGUUGGGGAUGGACUCGCGGCUUAUCAGCUUGUUGGUGGGGUAGUGGCUUACCAAGGCUUUGACGGGUAGCCGGCCUGAGAGGGUGACCGGCCACAUUGGGACUGAGAUACGGCCCAGACUCCUACGGGAGGCAGCAGUGGGGAAUAUUGCACAAUGGGCGGAAGCCUGAUGCAGCAACGCCGCGUGCGGGAUGGCGGCCUUCGGGUUGUAAACCGCUUUCGCCUGUGACGAAGCGUGAGUGACGGUAAUGGGUAAAGAAGCACCGGCUAACUACGUGCCAGCAGCCGCGGUGAUACGUAGGGUGCGAGCGUUGUCCGGAUUUAUUGGGCGUAAAGGGCUCGUAGGUGGUUGAUCGCGUCGGAAGUGUAAUCUUGGGGCUUAACCCUGAGCGUGCUUUCGAUACGGGUUGACUUGAGGAAGGUAGGGGAGAAUGGAAUUCCUGGUGGAGCGGUGGAAUGCGCAGAUAUCAGGAGGAACACCAGUGGCGAAGGCGGUUCUCUGGGCCUUUCCUGACGCUGAGGAGCGAAAGCGUGGGGAGCGAACAGGCUUAGAUACCCUGGUAGUCCACGCUGUAAACGGUGGGUACUAGGUGUGGGGUCCAUUCCACGGGUUCCGUGCCGUAGCUAACGCUUUAAGUACCCCGCCUGGGGAGUACGGCCGCAAGGCUAAAACUCAAAGGAAUUGACGGGGCCCCGCACAAGCGGCGGAGCAUGCGGAUUAAUUCGAUGCAACGCGUAGAACCUUACCUGGGUUUGACAUGGAUCGGGAGUGCUCAGAGAUGGGUGUGCCUCUUUUGGGGUCGGUUCACAGGUGGUGCAUGCCUGUCGUCAGCUCGUGUCGUGAGAUGUUGGGUUAAGUCCCGCAACGAGCGCAACCCUUGUUCACUGUUGCCAGCACGUUAUGGUGGGGACUCAGUGGAGACCGCCGGGGUCAACUCGGAGGAAGGUGGGGAUGACGUCAAGUCCUCAUGCCCCUUAUGUCCAGGGCUUCACGCAUGCUACAAUGGCUGGUACAGAGAGUGGCGAGCCUGUGAGGGUGAGCGAAUCUCGGAAAGCCGGUCUCAGUUCGGAUUGGGGUCUGCAACUCGACCUCAUGAAGUCGGAGUCGCUAGUAAUCGCAGAUCAGCAACGCUGCGGUGAAUACGUUCCCGGGGCUUGUACACACCGCCCGUCAAGUCAUGAAAGUUGGUAACACCCGAAGCCGGUGGCCUAACCGUUGUGGGGGAGCCGUCGAAGGUGGGACUGGUGAUUAGGACUAAGUCA
rnacentral:rRNA from 1 species